UUCGCUGAUUCUUCUUCUUUCAAUGAUUUCUUCUGCAAUUAUUCUUACUAACUCUCUUCUUCCCAUGCUUGAUUCUCUUGCACAUGAUUGAUCAAAGAUGAGAUUUCAACAGUUUCUACUCCGAGCAACCCCUUUUCCGGCACCUCUUAUGCGGCCUGGAUCUGGUGCUUCUCAAUAUAAGUCUCAGGCUAGCACUAUUGUACGUGCUCAAGAUAUGAAUGAGCAAUUGAGGAAGAGAGGUUGUAAUUUGCAUAAUAUUUGAAGAGACCGUCAUAUUCCUUGGCCAUAAAGAGAUAGUCGAGUACGAAGCCGGUCUGUUAUACUGAAGUAAAAGAUGGAAAAAUCCGAAACAGGAGAGGAACCAUCAUCUCAACAGGAAGCUCAGCCAUUUUCGAUUUCAGCCGUAAACAAAGGGAAGAAAGUACAAAGGUUUCUAAGAAGUCAUUUCUAAGAAGUCAUUGUUUGGAAACUCUUUUAAUCCAUCCACGAUCCGAAUAAGUUUAGCCCGGGUCAUUAGGAUUACCAGUUUGCCCUCAAUUUAGUUUUUUCUUUGUUUUUCCUUUUUUUCAACGUGGGGGCAUUGUAUGGCAUACUUGUUUUAUUGCUUUUUUAUUGUUUUUUAUGGCAUACUUGUUUUAUUGUUUUUUUAUCCCUAAGUGUGCUUCCCAAUUAAUAGUAUAGAUGUUCACUUACAUACUUUCAGACAUGAAAUUUUGGAUAAUCUCCAAUUGGUGUAGCUCGUACUUUCCAAGUACAUCCUCGCACCCAACACUUUACAACUAA